rfam:TPA: Bos taurus chromosome 7, whole genome shotgun sequence.
UCCCUUGUGGUGCAGUGGUUAGGACUCUGCACUUUGACUGCUGAGGGCUCGGGUUUGAUCCCUGAUCAGGGAA